rnacentral:rRNA from 1 species
AGCGAACGCUGGCGGCAGGCUUAACACAUGCAAGUCGAACGGGCACUUCGGUGUCAGUGGCAGACGGGUGAGUAACACGUGGGCACGUACCUUUUGGUUCGGAACAACUGAGGGAAACUUCAGCUAAUACCGGAUAAGCCCUUACGGGGAAAGAUUUAUCGCCGAAAGAUCGGCCCGCGUCUGAUUAGCUAGUUGGUAGGGUAAUGGCCUACCAAGGCGACGAUCAGUAGCUGGUCUUAGAGGAUGAUCAGCCACAUUGGGACUGAGACACGGCCCAAACUCCUACGGGAGGCAGCAGUGGGGAAUAUUGGACAAUGGGGGCAACCCUGAUCCAGCCAUGCCGCGUGAGUGAUGAAGGCCCUAGGGUUGUAAAGCUCUUUUGUGCGGGAAGAUAAUGACGGUACCGCAAGAAUAAGCCCCGGCUAACUUCGUGCCAGCCGCCGCGGUAA